GUGGGGAAUCUUGCGCAAUGGGCGAAAGCCUGACGCAGCCAUGCCGCGUGAAUGAUGAAGGUCUUAGGAUUGUAAAAUUCUUUCACCGGGGACGAUAAUGACGGUACCCGGAGAAGAAGCUCCGGCUAACUUCGUGCCAGCAGCCGCGGUAAUACGAAGGGGGCUAGCGUUGCUCGGAAUUACUGGGCGUAAAGGGCGCGUAGGCGGACAGCUUAGUCAGAGGUGAAAGCCCAGGGCUCAACCUUGGAAUUGCCUUUGAUACUGGCUGUCUUGAGUAUGGAAGAGGUAUGUGGAACUCCGAGUGUAGAGGUGAAAUUCGUAGAUAUUCGGAAGAACACCAGUGGCGAAGGCGACAUACUGGUCCAUUACUGACGCUGAGGCUCGAAAGCGUGGGGAGCAAACAGGAUUAGAAACCCCUGUAGUCC
rnacentral:rRNA from 1 species